ACAAUAGACUACCCAGGUAGUCCACGCCCUAAACGAUGCGAACUGGAUGUUGGGUACAUUACGGUACUCAGUGUCGAAGCUAACGCGUUAAGUUCGCCGCCUGGGGAGUACGGUCGCAAGACUGAAACUCAAAGGAAUUGACGGGGGCCCGCACAAGCGGUGGAGUAUGUGGUUUAAUUCGAUGCAACGCGAAGAACCUUACCUGGCCUUGACAUCUGUCGAAUCCUGCAGAGAUGCGGGAGUGCCGCAAGGAACGACAAGACAGGUGCUGCAUGGCUGUCGUCAGCUCGUGUCGUGAGAUGUUGGGUUAAGUCCCGCAACGAGCGCAACCCUUGUCCUUAGUUGCCAGCACGUAAUGGUGGGAACUCUAAGGAGACUGCCGGUGACAAACCGGAGGAAGGUGGGGAUGACGUCAAGUCCUCAUGGCCCCUUACGGGCCAGGGCUACACACGUACUACAAUGGUCGGUACAGAGGGUUGCGAAGCCGCGAGGUGGAGCCAAUCCCAGAAAGCCGAUCCCAGUCCGGAUUGGAGUCU
rnacentral:rRNA from 1 species